UACGGAGGGUGCAAGAGUUAUCCGGAUUUACUGGGUGUAAAGGGUGCGCAGGCGGAUAUGUAAGUCAGUGGUGAAAUCUCCGGGCUUAACCCGGAAACUGCCGUUGAUACUAUAUAUCUUGAAUGCUGUGGAGGUAAGCAGAAUAUGUCAUGUAGCGGUGAAAUGCUUAGAGAUGACAUAGAAUACCUAUUGCGAAGGCAGCUUACUACGCAGAUAUUGACGCUCAUGCACGAAAGCGUGGGGAGCAAACAGG
rnacentral:rRNA from 1 species